ACUGCAGUGUGAGCACUUCUAGU
rnacentral:piRNA from 1 species